rnacentral:misc_RNA from 1 species
GGCGCUCCAAGUCUGCAUUGAGUCACAGUCCGUUUAAAUAGCCUCAUCCAAUCGUAUUUGCGGUUACAAUUUUAUUUACAAAUGGCGCAGAAAUGUAAAUUGCCAAAGGAAUCCAACAGUUCCUAGCUUUAUUGAAAAAAUGUCGUUUGUGCGAAUUGGAGGCAGAAACCCACCAAGAAAGAAGAAGACAUGUAAACCCAGACCUUGGGAUGACACAGUAAAUGAUUUAGAUGCCUACAAGGCUACACCUGAAGAAAUUUGUUUUAUGAUCAACAAUCAAGAUUAGGUGAAAAACUUAGGACCAUCAUGGCCAUAUUGCUGUUUCAGGCAUACAGGAAAGCUUCACAUAGAUCAAAACAUGCUGUGUCUACACAUCUUACAAGACCUGGAUCUGCAAG